rnacentral:lncRNA from 1 species
CUCCAGCGCCUCCCAGAAGCAGCCGUUUUUGGAGUACGAAGCCAUCAUCGUGUUCCAAGCGACGAGGUGGUUUGGAGCCGGGAUUUGCUCGAACACCGCUCGCGAUUCCUCCAGGUUCCCACACUUCGCAUAGAGAUUCAUGAGAGCGUUCCCGACAACGAUGUCCCGAUCCAAUCCGGCCUCCACAACCGCGGCGUGGAUCAUCCGUCCCUCCACGAUCGAAGGAAUGCUCGCACAGGCGUCCAGCACGCCCACGUAGCUGAACUUAUCGGGAUGGAAGCCCUCCACCACCAUUCUCUUGAAGAGUUUGAGCGAUUCGACAUGGCCACCCUCGCCAGAGCUCGAAGAAGCGUACAUCGCGAUCAUGAUGUUCCACGAGUUGAGAUCCCGCGUGAUCAUGGCAUCGAACAUCUCCCUGGCUUUGGAGAGGCGCCUGUUCUGCGUGUAAGCCGUGACCAUCGCAUUCCACGACACAGUGUUCUUUACGGGCAUGUCUUGGAACACGGCCUCAGCAUCUGCAAGAUGCCCGUUCUGGGCAUACGCAGCAACCAUCGCCGUCCACGUCACUACAUUCUUCUCGGGCAUCUCCUGAAAGACUUGAAACGCUUCUUGGGCACUUCCACACUUCCCAUACAUGUCUACGAGCGCGGUCCCCAGCACGACGUCGCAAUUGUAGUCUUCCCCGGAAGCGACGAUCGUGGAGUGGAUGAUCUUCGCUACUGCAAUUCCCGCAGGCGCAUCUAGAGCUUGGAUCACACUCAGAUAUGAUACCUUGUCCGGCUCAACUCCCUGGAAAUCCAUCUCUCGAAACAGCUCCAGCGCCUCUUGCAUAAGCCCAUUCUGGGCAAAUGCUGCUACCAUCGCGUUCCAGGCCACCACGUCUCGAACUGGCAUAUGGCGAAACAAUGAUCUUGCGUCGUCGAGGUUGCAGCUUUGCGCGCAAGCAACCAAAAUCGCCGUCCAGGAAAUGGCGUCCCAAAGAGGCAUCUUCCUGAACAGCGUAUGUGCCUUCUGCAAAUGCCCAUUCUGGGCAAAUGCGGAGAUCAUCGUGUUGAGCGAGUAGAUGUUGGGUGUCUCGAUGCGCUCGAACGCGGCGAUGGCGUCGCCGAGUCUCCCACACUUUCCGUACAUCUGGACGAGGUUGUUUCCCAGAUACGUAUCGCGGUCGUAGCCGGCGAGCGCGAUCCGUUCGUGGAGCCGGCGACCCUCUCCCAGUGCCUUGGCGCUGGCGCACCGCCGGAGGAGAGAUCCAAAUCUUCCCACAUCGAUCGCGUUCUUUCCAGAGUCGCGGAGGAGGAGCCCAUCGAUCGCCUGCUUGAGCUGCUCGCGCAAACUCUUGUCGCUUAAUCUGGGCGAUGCUGCUGCUGCUGCUGCUGGAUGCUCGUCGUCGCAGCUUAAGUUCUUGCCCACCACUUUUCCUAUAUUUUAAACUCCAUUGGUAAUAUUAGUUUUGCUUGAACUCUAUUGAUGUUAUGAUUAAGUAGUAGUUCUCUAGUAAAGGUUAUAUAUAACUCUAGUACAUUAGUGUUUGCUAUCAUUUCUUCAAAUGCUUAAUUUAAAAGAUUUUAUAACUUGCCUCCAACCUUCAAGGAGGUAUUAAGAUUUUAAUAUAUAAAUAAUUUUGUUUUAUAGAUCACAAUCACUUUAGAGUUUUUAGAACUUGAGGCUCUGGAAGUUUUUACAAAGAGCUAGACCAUUCUUGAGCUCACAAGUUAAAGAGUUGAAUUUAUGAGUUAAGUUUGAUACAAACAUUAUAAGCUUUAACAUAUUAUGGCAAAUAUUUUCACAACUCUCUGAAUAUUAUAUAAAUAUAAAGGAAUACAUAUAUUGAUGGAGCUAUUUGUUUGUAAAUUAUAAUAGAAGUAAAUUUAGGUGGACUUAAAUAAUUAAAAGAAUUAUAUAAGCCACUCCAUGAAUGUAAGCCCUUCAUAUAAUAUUAAUUUUAAAUAACUAUUCCAAAACUAUUUUGGAGUAUUAGAAAAAAUGACAUUGUGAAUAACAAAGAAUUAAAUAUUUGUUUUAUGAAGAUGUAAACAUAUUUAGAAACAGUGAGGUUGGCAUUAUAAAUAUCUCAAUUUGUUAUAAUCUGGACCAUCCAAUAUUUGUAUAAGUAUGUUAGUAUUCCUUUAAAAAUUGUAUCAUGUCUUUAGGCAUUAUAUUAAUGUUUUUAUUUAGAUUAAUUAAUGCUCCUGAGGUUGGCUUUCGACCAGAAGAUACAGAUUAUAUAAAUUCAAAUACUACAAAUAGGAUUAUAUCAGCUCUACUUUUAAUGGUAAAAGCUAAAAUUCCUCCUCAUGCAGCAGUACCAUUAGGUCAAGGUAUCAAAGCUGAGGUAAUUCUGCCAGAUGAAAUAUAUGGUAAAAUAAGUGUGAAUGUACAAAUAUGGCUUUAUAGCCAUGAAAGAGGGAAAAGUUUCAGGCAUUGUUCUGCUUAUCCUACUGGAGAGAAUGGUAAUACUACUGCCAUUAUAUUAGAUUUACUUUACUUAUUAAUGUACUACCGUCCUAUUCUUAUAUCUUUAGGUUCUAGAUUAAUUGCUUUAACAUCAGGGAUCUAUGGUAUUUACUAUUGGGUUAGAAAUGUACCUCCAGCAGGGCAACCUAGCUCUAGAACAUCAGAUCAAUUUAUUAAUACAUCAAAUAAAAUUAACAAUUUUAAUGAUUGUCAUAUUUCCUUGAAUACAUUAAUUAGCUCUACAAUUCAUAAUAUUUUAUUAGAAUUCCAUUUUAUAACAUCUCCAAAUCAAAAAGCAUACUUAUAUUUGCAUCCUAAUUGCAAAUUAGAAUUAUAUAUUGGAAAUAAAUCAAAGUGGUUUAAAUCAGGAAAUUAUAUAAAAUGUUAUCUUGUAUUACAGGGCCUUCCUCUCCCGCCCCAUGCGGCUUGGCUGCCUCCCAUUGGCCGGGAGCAAACAUCAGCGCGAUUAUUCUCAAACACGUGGUUAAAGAAAUAACCCCUUUACAGUUACCCCCCAUCGGACAGCCCAAUUGGCUGGAUCCGGCGGCCCACAAAGUUCGGCAUUUGCUCCUUAUAGUAGUAGAUAAACAAAAAAAUUGUGUGGUCACCAAAUGAAUAUUGUUAUCCCCAACCAAAUUGUGUGAUGAACUCAUAUCUUUCAUUACAAAACAAUUGUAAUUUAGUUUUAUACCAAAAUAUACAAGAUACGUUUUCUAAAGUACCAAGAGUUCAAAUCCUUUGGUCAACUGGUACUUUUUGUAAUUAAGAAACAUUAAUAUAGAAUUAUUAUUUAUGUUGUUCUUCCCAAUCUUCUACUUCAUUCCAGCGUCCCAUGUCUGUAGUACCCAUGUCUGUGGUACACAAGGUAAUGCUUGAAAGAGUAAAUUUGGGAAUUCCUGGAAAUGCCAGCACCAAACCCAGUGGUGAUUGAAGCAAGGAAUUGCUUCACAAGACAUGCCAAUUUUUUGUCUUUUUCUUUUGUAAGGUUCGAUAGAACGAAAAUGGAUGCUUGAAUUUCACUCUACAAGACUGUUUAGUUGUUCCGUGAAAUCAAUUUGAUCAAGCCCCUCCUUGGCCCGGUGGCUAUCUCCAUGUGUCUUGUAAGCACCCAGCAGCGUUCUCAUUGCGACAUCAUCAGCCUCUACCGGCAUGCCUUGGAUCAAUUCCUCGGCGUCUCUCAGCUGGCCAGCUCGAGCAAGCAGAUCGAUCAUGCACAUAAAAUGGUCACGAACCGGCUGGAUCCCGAAGUCUAGCUGCAUGGACACGAAGAAGGAGCAGCCAUCUUCGUAUCGCCCCCCAUGGCUGCAAGAGAAGAUGACGCUCACGAACGUGAUCUCGUCCGGAUCAACACCUCGCAAGAUCAUCGCCACGAACAGCUCCAGCGCCUCCCAGAAGCAGCCGUUUUUGGAGUACGAAGCCAUCAUCGUGUUCCAAGCGACGAGGUGGUUUGGAGCCGGGAUUUGCUCGAACACCGCUCGCGAUUCCUCCAGGUUCCCACACUUCGCAUAGAGAUUCAUGAGAGCGUUCCCGACAACGAUGUCCCGAUCCAAUCCGGCCUCCACAACCGCGGCGUGGAUCAUCCGUCCCUCCACGAUCGAUGGAAUGCUCGCA